rnacentral:rRNA from 1 species
AUUGAACGCUGGCGGCAUGCCUUACACAUGCAAGUCGAACGGCAGCGCGGACUUCAGUCUGGCGGCGAGUGGCGAACGGGCGAGUAAUACAUCGGAACGUACCCUGUUGUGGGGGAUAACUAGUCGAAAGAUUAGCUAAUACCGCAUACGACCUGAGGGUGAAAGUGGGGGACCGCAAGGCCUCACGCAGCAGGAGCGGCCGAUGUCUGAUUAGCUAGUUGGUGGGGUAAAGGCCCACCAAGGCGACGAUCAGUAGCUGGUCUGAGAGGACGAUCAGCCACACUGGGACUGAGACACGGCCCAGACUCCUACGGGAGGCAGCAGUGGGGAAUUUUGGACAAUGGGGGCAACCCUGAUCCAGCAAUGCCGCGUGUGUGAAGAAGGCCUUCGGGUUGUAAAGCACCUUUGUCCGGAAAGAAAUCGCGCUGGUUAAUACCCAAGAUGAGUGGACGUUACUCGCAGAAUAAGCACCGGCUAACUCUGUGCCAGCCGCCGCGGUAA